rnacentral:rRNA from 1 species
AUUGAACGCUGGCGGCAUGCCUUACACAUGCAAGUCGAACGGCAGCACGGGAGCAAUCCUGGUGGCGAGUGGCGAACGGGUGAGUAAAGUAUCGGAACGUGCCCAGUCGUGGGGGAUAACGUAGCGAAAGUUACGCUAAUACCGCAUACGCUCUAUGGAUGAACGCGGGGGAUCGCAAGACCUCGCGCGAUUGGAGUGGCCGAUAUCAGAUUAGGUAGUUGGUGGGGUAAAGGCUCACCAAGCCGACGAUCUGUAGCUGGUCUGAGAGGACGACCAGCCACACUGGGACUGAGACACGGCCCAGACUCCUACGGGAGGCAGCAGUGGGGAAUUUUGGACAAUGGGCGAAAGCCUGAUCCAGCCAUGCCGCGUGCAGGAUGAAGGCCUUCGGGUUGUAAACUGCUUUUGUACGGAACGAAAAGGUUUGGCCUAAUAAGCUGAGCUCAUGACGGUACCGUAAGAAUAAGCACCGGCUAACUACGUGCCAGCCGCCGCCGUAA